rnacentral:rRNA from 1 species
AUUGAACGCUGGCGGCAUGCCUAACACAUGCAAGUCGAACGAUGAUUAAGAGCUUGCUCUUAUGAUUAGUGGCGGACGGGUGAGUAAUGUAUAGGGAUCUGCCUGUUAGUGGGGGACAACAGCCGGAAACGGCUGCUAAUACCGCAUACGCUCUACGGAGGAAAGUGGGGGACCCUCGGGCCUCACGCUAACAGAUGAACCUAUAUUGGAUUAGCUAGUUGGUAGGGUAAAGGCCUACCAAGGCGACGAUCCAUAGCUGGUUUGAGAGAAUGAUCAGCCACACUGGGACUGAGACACGGCCCAGACUCCUACGGGAGGCAGCAGUGGGGAAUAUUGGACAAUGGGCGCAAGCCUGAUCCAGCAAUGCCGCGUGUGUGAAGAAGGCCUUCGGGUUGUAAAGCACUUUAAGUUGGGAGGAAAAGCUGAGGGUUAAUAGCCUUUAGUGUUGACGUUACCAACAGAAUAAGCACCGGCUAACUCCGCG